rnacentral:tRNA from 1 species
GCCGGGGUGGCGGAGCGGCCAACGCGUCGGACUCGAGAUCCGAUGGGCCUCACGGCCCGCAUGGGUUCAAGUCCCAUCCCCGGCGCCA